rnacentral:rRNA from 1 species
AUUGAACGCUGGCGGCAGGCCUAACACAUGCAAGUCGAGCGGGGUUUUCGGACCUAGCGGCGGACGGGUGAGUAAUGCGUAGGAAGCUACCCGAUAGAGGGGGAUACCAGUUGGAAACGACUGUUAAUACCGCAUAAUGUCUACGGACCAAAGUGUGGGACCUUCGGGCCACAUGCUAUCGGAUGCGCCUACGUGGGAUUAGCUAGUUGGUGAGGUAAUGGCUCACCAAGGCGACGAUCUCUAGCUGGUUUGAGAGGAUGAUCAGCCACACUGGAACUGAGACACGGUCCAGACUCCUACGGGAGGCAGCAGUGGGGAAUAUUGGACAAUGGGCGCAAGCCUGAUCCAGCCAUGCCGCGUGUGUGAAGAAGGCCUUCGGGUUGUAAAGCACUUUCAGCGAGGAGGAAGGGUUGUGUGUUAAUAGUACACAGCCUUGACGUUACUCGCAGAAGAAGCACCGGCUAACUCUGUGCCAGCAGCCGCGGUAA